UACGUAGGGGGCAAGCGUUGUCCGGAAUCAUUGGGCGUAAAGAGCGUGUAGGCGGCCCGAUAAGUCCGCUGUGAAAGUCCAGGGCUCAACCCUGGAAUGCCGGUGGAUACUGUCGGGCUCGAAUCCGGAAGAGGUGAGUGGAAUUACUGGUGUAGCAGUGAAAUGCGUAGAGAUCAGUAGGAACACCAAUGGCGAAGGCAGCUUGCUGGCAUGUUUCUGACGCUAAGGCACGAAAGCGUGGGUAGCGAACGGG
rnacentral:rRNA from 1 species